UCGGUAGUACAAAGCCUUACUAAAUUAUGCAGAGUAUUAAGGAUAAAAGAUGGAGUACAAUGGUUCAAAAAUUGGUGAGCUAGCUCAAAAUUCCCUCUGCUGGCUUGAAAUGAAGUCUCUCUAAUUCUGAAUGUGCUUUGACUGCAUAAGACCAUAACUAAAUGCUUCACUUUAGGGAGUCAAAUUAUUCUAGAAUUCGAGUGAUUUCUUUUCUUUUUUUUUGCCGGCAAUAUCCUGUACGGAAUCUGUGACCCAGACCCACUUAAUACUGUCAAAGCCAGGCUUUUUGGUCCAGUCAGAACCUGUCCAACCAAAAAAAAUACCAACACAAAAGUUCAAAAAAAAAAUACAAAAGUUUAAAAGAAAAAGGAUAUUCAAAUUAAGGUCGAUAUUAACUAGGUCAAACGUCCUUAACAUCUUCACCUCAACCACCGGCUGUUUCCAAUUGCUCUAUGAAAC
rnacentral:lncRNA from 1 species